rnacentral:lncRNA from 1 species
ACUUCCCUGCGCCUCUGGCUGCCUCAAUGUCACUGGGGAUUAGUGUGCAUUUGCGGCUUUUGGCGGACACUCCCCUCCUGGCUGCAGCCUCACCCUCUGGAGCCCAGGGAUGGGCUUGGGCCUGGGAGCCCCCUGAACCAGGGAGCAGCCCUGACCGUCCGUUUCUCUAUUUUCCCUGACGUCAGAAGGCAGAGUGCUUAUUCACUUUGGAAGCGCACUCGCAGGAGCAGAAGAAGAGAGUGUGCUGGUGCCUGUCGGAGAACAUCGCCAAGCAGCAACAGCUGGCAGCAUCACCCCCGGACAGCAAGAAACUCCACCCUUUCGGCUCUCUCCAGCAGGAGAUGGGGCCGGUCAACUCAACCAAUGCCACCCAGGAUAGAAGCUUUACCUCACCAGGACAGACUCUGAUUGGCUGAGCAAACCCAAGGGCGGGACUCUGCUUCUGGCAACUUAACCCUUUCUUGGGCAUCCCCUACCACACAGUAACCUCACCUCAACUGGACCUGAAACAGAGGACCAAGAUGGUGGGUCUAGGGUCAUCUGAAGGGAGUGGUCCCAAGGGUGCAUGUGGAUGUCAACAGAA